UACAGAGGUCCCAAGCGUUGUUCGGAUUCACUGGGCGUAAAGGGUGCGUAGGCGGUCGGGUAAGUCUGAUGUGAAAUCUCCGGGCUCAACCCGGAAAUGGCAUUGGAUACUAUUCGGCUCGAGGUCUGGAGGGGGGACUGGAAUACUUGGUGUAGCAGUGAAAUGCGUAGAUAUCAAGUGGAACACCAGUGGCGAAGGCGAGUCCCUGGACAGAUCCUGACGCUGAGGCACGAAAGCUAGGGGAGCAAGCAGG
rnacentral:rRNA from 1 species